AUUGAACGCUGGCGGCAGGCCUAACACAUGCAAGUCGAGCGAGCGGCGGACGGGUGAGUAAUGUAUGGGGACUGCCCGAUCGAGGGGGAUAACUACUGGACACGGUGGCUAAUACCGCAUACUAUCGGCUACCCCAUAUGGGCUUAGCUAGUGGGUGGGGUAAAGGAGCACCUAGGCCACGAUCCCUAGCUGGUCUGAGAGGAUGAUCAGCAACACUGGGACGGAGACACGGCCCAGACUACUACGGAGGCAGCAGUGGGGAAUAUUGCACAAUGGGCGCAAGCCUGAUGCAGCCAUGCCGCGUGUAUGAAGAAGGCCUUAGGGUUGUAAAGUACUUUCAGCGGGGAGGCGUUACCCGCAGAAGAAGCACCGGCUAACUCCGUGCCAGCAGCCGCGGUAAUAC
rnacentral:rRNA from 1 species